GGUUUGAACCCCUUUGGCCUGAAUAUUUGUAACUUCCCAACUGGUGCGGGUCAUUACAUUUGGUGUGUGUCCCAUUGAAUCAACCCUGUUGUUUCCUUCUGUCAUGCUUUCCACUUCUUCCUGGAUCAUCUCUCCCCAUCACUUGCCUUGGUAGUCACUGCCCUGGAUCUCUUUACCCAGCAGUGAUGGCCUGGCUUUUCUUUUGGGCAAUCCACCCCUAUCCCUAUCCUGCAGGCUGUGUGGAUGGUCACCUGGGUGGCAGUAGUGACCCUGAGUGUGGAUUUGGGCCUGGCUGUGGGUGUGGUCUUCUCCAUGAUGACUGUGGUCUGCCGCACCCGGAGCUCCUCCAGGUCCCGGGGCUCUGCAUCCUGAGCUAUCCAACACCACUGUACUUUGGGACCCGUGGGCAGUUUCGCUGCAACCUGGAGUGGCACCUGGGGCUCGGAGAAGGAGAAAAGGAGACUUCAAAGCCAGAUGGCCCAAUGGUUGCAGUUGCUGAGCCUGUCAGGGUGGUGGUCCUAGACUUCAGUGGUGUCACCUUUGCAGAUGCUGCUGGGGCCAGAGAAGUGGUGCAGCUGGCCAGCCGAUGUCGAGAUGCUAGGAUCCGCCUCCUCCUGGCUCAGUGUAAUGGUGAGAUGUGUGGAGAAGAGCGGGGCCCAGUGCCUGGGCAAUGACUGGACACCUGCGGUAGGGAAAAGGACCCGGUGUGGACUUA
ensembl:lncRNA novel transcript